CAUUUGUUAUGGACUGCUUGGUUCGUGCAACGUAGCUGCAGACGAUUCCCCUCCAGGAUGGCUGCAAUGGGUGCACAAGAUGCCAAGUUUGCAGCCAGCCGGGCAGCUCAUCUGGCAACAUAGACACAGCAGAACUGCAUUGGACGCUGCUGACAUUCUUCAUAAUCGUUAGUCAGCAGCCACUUCUUCCAGGCACGACACCAUUCCCAGGAUGGAAAGCGUACGUCCAUCGCCUUUCCAGUGCUGCCUGAAGCCUUGUGGAAAAGGAAGCAACGCAGGCCAACUGGAAGAUCAAGCUGAGACGGAAAAGGAAAAAAAUAAACAGAGAAGUCAUUUUCUAUUCUA